AAAGACAUCUUCCCCGCGCUCUAUUUCCUCUGUUUUGAAAGGGAAAGAAGACCAAUUAUUAACGAAGUAAGCAACACGCUGCAACAAGCCUUUGCCCGUCUAUAUAUAUAUAUUAUAUAUAUAUAUAUAUAGUAAUAUUCGUAGACCAACACCCACAACAACGCUCAUUUUUGCACUUCUCAUCUCUCUCUCGACCAAACAUAUUGUCAUUUUAUGGAUAAGACAGUACCUGGCAACGAGGUUCCUGAGGAGCUGACUCGAGAGUCGCUUAUUGCGAUUUCUUAUUCUCUUCCAGACAAGGAUCCUGAUUCAAAACUCUCAUCUGAAACAUUGGAUGGUGAAAAUCUUGUUGGAGUGAUUGAUAGCAAAAGAGAAGAAAAGUACAGGUCUGAGCUGAUUUCUAUUUCCUACACACAAUCACCAGACUCUGGGAGUCAACCUGUUACGCCUGGAGAGCACAAGGGUUAGCCCAGCUUGGACAGCAGGUCCAAUCUUUAUGGGUAGUUGUUGUAUGUUGUGCUGUAGCACUGUCAUAAUAUUAAGUGAAUGGAUACAUGGCGCCUUUACAUGUCUUUCUGGAAGUUGACAUUAGUGCAAAAUAAACCUCACAAAGAAUUCUGCACUGUUUUGGGUGAGGAAGCUUUAUUUGGGCUAAAUGAUAGUGAAACCAUGUACUCAUCUUCCUUGCUAUUUCCUUGUUUCAUUUUACCA